GAUGAACGCUGGCGGCGUGCCUAAUACAUGCAAGUCGAGCGAAUGGAUUAAGAGCUUGCUCUUAUGAAGUUAGCGGCGGACGGGUGAGUAACACGUGGGUAACCUGCCCAUAAGACUGGGAUAACUCCGGGAAACCGGGGCUAAUACCGGAUAACAUUUUGAACCGCAUGGUUCGAAAUUGAAAGGCGGCUUCGGCUGUCACUUAUGGAUGGACGCGCGUCUCAUUAGCUAGUUGGUGAGGUAACGGCUCACCAAGGCAACGAUGCGUAGCCGACCUGAGAGGGUGAUCGGCCACACUGGGACUGAGACACGGCCCAGACUCCUACGGGAGGCAGCAGUAGGGAAUCUUCCGCAAUGGACGAAAGUCUGACGGAGCAACGCCGCGUGAGUGAUGAAGGCUUUCGGGUCGUAAAACUCUGUUGUUAGGGAAGUACAAGUGCUAGUUGAAUAAGCUGGCACCUUGACGGUACCUAACCAGAAAGCCACGGCUAACUACGUGCCAGCCGCCGCCGUAA
rnacentral:rRNA from 1 species